rnacentral:lncRNA from 1 species
AUUGCAUUAAAUUAUUUGUCAGCCAAUUCACAGAUCUCAAUUUCCUUAGGGUCAUUUAAUGGAGAUUUGUUCUGCUGCUUUGGCUGUAUCAUUGUUUCCUUAUUCUUCAUGGUCCUUGUAGCUUUGUGUUGGUGUUUGUGCAUUUGCAGAAAUAGCUACUUCUUCCACUCUUUAUAGACUGGCUCGGACAGAGGGAGACCUUCAUCCAUCAGCCUUGGGAGAUAUUCCGGGUGCUUCUCAAACCCCUUCUAUGGAUGUGUAUUUUCUGAACAAAUGCAUGGGUAAAUUCCCCAGACUGGAAUUUACACCAUGCACUCUCAUUGAAUUACACCACCAGCUUUCCUGGGCCUACAGGUUGCGGACAGCAGGUCAUGGGACAUCUCAGCCUCCAUAAUCAUGUAAGCCAAUUCCUCACAAUAAAUAUAAAUUUUAUGUGUGUGUAUGUGUGUGUGUGUAUGUAUGUGUGUAUAUAUAUAUAUAUAUAUGUUUGUAUCUCCUAUUGAUUCUGUUUCUCUGGAGAACUCUGACAGAUACAGGGAGUAGGGAAGAAUCCUAUUAAAUUCACUACAAAGAGUCACUAUCCUGGUAGUGGUGAUUGAAUUUGGCCAAUAGGAAUGUAGAGAAACCAAGAGGAAACUUCCCCUUUGCCUUCUGAAGGGUCGCUGAAAAAUCACUGACAUGAGGCAGAUUAGUAGGAGAAAGGCGCACACAAUUAUUUAAUGACUAUAUAUGGAAGCUUUCAGAAUGAAGACCCAACACCCUAGUGGGGUUUGGAAACUUACAUAUCAUCCUUGCUAAACAGGCUGUGGGAGAGGGGAGAAGAGGAAUUCUGUUGAGGGGGUUACUAGGGAGAAUGAAUGGAUGCAGGAACAGUAAUUCACUUGUAAAUGGUUCUCUUUGACAGCGAAAAUGUCUUCUCAGGUGUGGUUACAUUCUUUGUCUUACAGGAGUGGGAAGAAAAUGAAAAAACAAUUGUUCUCCUUGGUGUGUUGGAUCUUGGGCGGAUAAAGGAACUUCAACUCCUUUGGUGAGAUGGUAGCAGCAGAGAGGUCAGAGAGACCUUGAGGCUUUGUCUUCAGUUGAGCAUGUCAAAACACCAUAUUUUGAUGUUUCUGAGUCCCAACAUGGGAAGUAAGAAGUGUGUUCUACAUUUAGAAUAGAGAAAAAUGUAAUAAAAUUUAAGAAGUACCUACAUAUAUAAGCUAC